rnacentral:rRNA from 1 species
UCACUCCCAACCCCUGUGACAUACCUAUACGUUGCCUCGGCGGAUCAGCCCGCGCCCCGUAAAACGGGACGGCCCGCCCGAGGACCCCUAAACUCUGUUUUUAGUGGAACUUCUGAGUAAAACAAACAAAUAAAUCAAAACUUUCAACAACGGAUCUCUUGGUUCUGGCAUCGAUGAAGAACGCAGCAAAAUGCGAUAAGUAAUGUGAAUUGCAGAAUUCAGUGAAUCAUCGAAUCUUUGAACGCACAUUGCGCCCGCCAGUAUUCUGGCGGGCAUGCCUGUUCGAGCGUCAUUUCAACCCUCAAGCUCAGCUUGGUGUUGGGACUCGCGGUAACCCGCGUUCCCCAAAUCGAUUGGCGGUCACGUCGAGCUUCCAUAGCGUAGUAAUCAUACACCUCGUUACUGGUAAUCGUCGCGGCCACGCCGUUAAACCCCAACUUCUGAAUGUUGACCUCGGAUCAGGUAGGAAUACCCGCUGAACUUAAGCAUAUCAAUAAGCGGAGGAA